rnacentral:rRNA from 1 species
CCUACGGGUGGCAGCAGUGAGGAAUAUUGGUCAAUGGACGAGAGUCUGAACCAGCCAAGUAGCGUGAAGGAUGACUGCCCUAUGGGUUGUAAACUUCUUUUAUAAAGGAAUAAAACGAGGCACGUGUGCCUUUUUGCAUGUACUUUAUGAAUAAGGAUCGGCUAACUCCGUGCCAGCAGCCGCGGUAAUACGGAGGAUCCGAGCGUUAUCCGGAUUUAUUGGGUUUAAAGGGAGCGUAGAUGGGUUGUUAAGUCAGUUGUGAAAGUUUGCGGCUCAACCGUAAAAUUGCAAUUGAUACUGGCAGUCGUGAGUACAGUUGAGGUAGGCGGAAUUCGUGGUGUAGCGGUGAAAUGCUUAGAUAGCACGAAGAACCCCGAUUGCGAAGGCAGCUUACUAAACUGUGACUGACAUUUAUGCUCGAAAGUGUGGGUAUCAAACAGGAUUAGAUACCCCUGUAGUC